GUUUCAGAAUGGAAAGACUUUGAGAAAAAUAAUGUUGAGGCUAGCUUUCUAGGAGAAACAUGACCAAAGGCAUAUAAAGAAAAUGGCACUGACGAUACCAACUGAUGGAAAACCUCUUUAUGAAUAUGUGGUCAGACUGGUGUUGGAUGGGAAGGAAACAGUAAGAUCCCUUAAUCUGUCAUUAGAGUGAGAGAAAAGUCUUAACUAUUUCCAAGUCUGUGACACUUAAAAUAAGUCUUGAACAGCAUUUGGAAUAGAAAUUUGGAUGGUUGUGUGAUGUAUUUCCAACAGUCAUAUCCAGAAAUAAAUAUCCGGAUAUUGGUAAAAUAAAAUGACAUUUGUUGGCUGUGCAAUAAGGGACCAUCUGCACCAAGAUGCUUGGAGGAAUUGAGAGGUUGGCAUUUUCACAG